UACGUAGGGUGCAAGCGUUAAUCGGAAUUACUGGGCGUAAAGUGUGCGCAGGUGGCCGAGCAAGUCGAGUGUGAAAUCCCCGAGCUUAACUUGGGAAUUGCGCUCGAAACUACUUGGCUCGAGUGUGGCAGAGGAAGGUGGAAUUCCACGUGUAGCAGUGAAAUGCGUAGAUAUCGAGAGGAACACCAGUGGCGAAGGCGAGUCUCUGGACGACUCCUGACACUGAGGCACGAAAGCUAGGGGAGCAAACAGG
rnacentral:rRNA from 1 species